UUGGCUAUGUACAUCGGGAGACUCAAUAUGUAAGAGGAGAAUAACGCGGGUACAGGAGAGAAAUAAUAUUUGGCUAUAGGCUUAAGGCAACCGUACACUUUACCACUGCACAGGCUGCGGCAUAUGGUACAUUUUCCUCGUAUGAUCGAGUGACUAGUGUCGUUUCGCUUAUCAAGGACUAACCCGAGUGAGGAAAACGACGAUGUAUUGGCAGAGCUGAGAGAGAACAGCCAUAGUUGGGAGUUCGAUAUCAAAAGUUGCUGAACUCGAAGGAAGGAAGCUCGAAAUAAACGAGCAUUAAAAUACAAUACGUGAAGGAAGAAGAAUUUCUGCCGUCGAUAGUAAAACGUAAUGAUCACAUGUAGACAGCUAGUGUAUAUAAACAUUAAUAUUAUUCUAAAAAAAGAUGGCGUAAAUGUAUGUCGUCGGAUAUAUCCAUUUUUUUUUUUA